rnacentral:rRNA from 1 species
GAUGAACGCUGGCGGCGUGCUUAACACAUGCAAGUCGAACGAUGAAGCCCAGCUUGCUGGGUGGAUUAGUGGCGAACGGGUGAGUAACACGUGAGUAACCUGCCCUUGACUCUGGGAUAAGCCUGGGAAACUGGGUCUAAUACUGGAUAUGACUUCUCAUCGCAUGGUGGGGGGUGGAAAGAUUUAUUGGUCUUGGAUGGACUCGCGGCCUAUCAGCUUGUUGGUGAGGUAAUGGCUCACCAAGGCGACGACGGGUAGCCGGCCUGAGAGGGUGACCGGCCACACUGGUACUGAGACACGGCCCAGACUCCUACGGGAGGCAGCAGUGGGGAAUAUUGCACAAUGGGCGCAAGCCUGAUGCAGCGACGCCGCGUGAGGGAUGACGGCCUUCGGGUUGUAAACCUCUUUCAGUAGGGAAGAAGCGAGAGUGACGGUACCUGCAGAAGAAGCGCCGGCUAACUACGUG